UUAAAAUAACAAUUUAUCAUCAAUAAUUAAACCCAUUUUAUAUUUUAUUUUUUUGCUGAUGUGGACGAUAUUGUGGGAAAAUUGAUAACAUGGUGUAAUAAGGAAUUUUACGUGGUUUGAACAUUUUCCAUGAAAAUCGGUCAAUUUUAAAAGGAAAACUAAUACUCUACGAAAUACUUUUUAUGAGCAAGUUUACUUUAAACCAUUAUAAAACCUGUCUUGUCCCAUAAUUAGACGAUUGUAUAAAGACCCGCCCAUUUAUUAUUUAUAGACGGAUCCAACCCAUUUAUAACCGUGGCGGGUCAUGGCUUUUAAUAGGGCUCCAAGGCCUCCAACCAUACCUGUCUCUCAGUUCACUUGUCCGUUGAAGCGCAGUUCACGUUCUCCGUUGAAUCUUAUACUUGUAUCCCCCCAUUGAAGCAGCUUCUGAGAUAUGGAUUUGGAUAAGAAAACAGGUAGGGAUGUUUUACGGAGGAUACUCGAUCAACAUGAAUUGGGGGCUAAUAUUGGUUCCGAGACUAUGCCUCUGCUCGAGGUGUUCUCUGUCAGCGUAAAUACCAGCCUCCCUGGCAUGUUUUUAGAUGAUUGUGAUUGUUGUGAAAUAUAUGGCACUAUUAAAGCCACUAAUGGAUUAGGUCAUGUAUUUGAUCUCUACAAACGGAAACGCAACAACCCUGAGUUUAUUGAGCCGAAUAGGGAUGGCUACACUCGUUAUUUGUCAUUAACUGGACUUAAGGAUGGUCGUGUCAUUAUACCCUAUGAUUAUGUCGUUAUGGAGGUGGACCCAAGGGAUAGGGCUCGAAGUGAUGUUGUCAUUGCUAAGGGAAAGUUGAGCUUCAACUACAAAGAAACCUUUUACACAGAACAUGGAGCUGAAAUUGUUCUGGGUGAGGCCGGAUUUGUGACUCUGCAUUAUGCCACUUUCCCUUAUGCAGUGACAGCUUCUGUGGAUGUGUUUUUCUUCAGCAAAGACGGUGAUUAUGAUGUAUUAGACUAUGAUUGUGAUGUUGAUGUUGAUUAUACUGAUUAUGAUACUUCUGCAUAUGGAAAUGACGAUGGUGUUGAUGUUUAUGGAACUGUUGUUGCACAAACCAAUUUUCCUGGGAGUGUCUCCUAUGGGACUAUCUCAAGUAUACUUUUAAAAUUGUCACGUGAUGAAUGUGUACGGGUCAAGUCUAGAUCAUCUAUUGAGCUAUCAAGGUCCAUGGUUGCUAUGCCAGUUAAUUCAAAUUCCCCCUUGAAAUAUAUGUGGAUUUCAAGUAUAAGGAUGGAAGCAGACUAGCUAAUGGGGUCUUAGAGUUUCCAUCUAAUGACUGCAGCCAGUUUAAGAUGGAUUUAGUGGGUGGAAAUGGGCGUAUUAGAGUGCGAGUGAAAUGGGGUAAGGCAUAUGAGCUGCGUUACAAAGGAAGUGAUUUGAAACGCUGUUCGAAUGAAGAGAGCAAGCUUGAUGAACUGGUUAAAAGGCAGCGGUAUUUUGCUGAUCCACAACCCUCAGCAUCCUUCUCGUGUGAUGAUUGGUAGGUUGCUAACUUUUAUUUGACACUCUUAUGCCACUAGUGUAUUUUUAUAGAUUAGUCAUAUGGAGAGUGGGAGGUAGCUCAAUUGGUUAGAGCAUCCUCCCGAUUUUAGGAGAUUUUGGAAUUGAUUUUCAUUACUCGCCCUUGUGGCUCUUUAAACACCAAAAAUAAAAUGGAUUAGUCAUUAAUUUUAUAAUCACUAUUACCCAAUGUAUUUUGGUGGCAAAUGAAGAGAAGUAAGAGUUUGGAGGAGAUGGUGAUUAAGGGAGGAUCGGAGGAGGAAUGGGUGAUGGAUUCAUAU